UGCAAGUCGAGCGGACAGAAGGGAGCUUGCUCCCGGAUGUUAGCGGCGGACGGGUGAGUAACACGUGGGUAACCUGCCUGUAAGACUGGGAUAACUCCGGGAAACCGGAGCUAAUACCGGAUAGUUCCUUGAACCGCAUGGUUCAAGGAUGAAAGACGGUUUCGGCUGUCACUUGCAGAUGGACCCGCGGCGCAUUAGCUAGUUGGUGGGGUAAUGGCUCACCAAGGCGACGAUGCGUAGCCGACCUGAGAGGGUGAUCGGCCACACUGGGACUGAGACACGGCCCAGACUCCUACGGGAGGCAGCAGUAGGGAAUCUUCCGCAAUGGACGAAAGUCUGACGGAGCAACGCCGCGUGAGUGAUGAAGGUUUUCGGAUCGUAAAGCUCUGUUGUUAGGGAAGAACAAGUGCGAGAGUAACUGCUCGCACCUUGACGGUACCUAACCAGAAAGCCACGGCUAACUACGUGCCAGCAGCCGCGGUAAUACGUAGGUGGCAAGCGUUGUCCGGAAUUAUUGGGCGUAAAGGGCUCGCAGGCGGUUUCUUAAGUCUGAUGUGAAAGCCCCCGGCUCAACCGGGGAGGGUCAUUGGAAACUGGGAAACUUGAGUGCAGAAGAGGAGAGUGGAAUUCCACGUGUAGCGGUGAAAUGCGUAGAGAUGUGGAGGAACACCAGUGGCGAAGGCGACUCUCUGGUCUGUAACUGACGCUGAGGAGCGAAAGCGUGGGGAGCGAACAGGAUUAGAUACCCUGGUAGUCCACGCCGUAAACGAUGAGUGCUAAGUGUUAGGGGGUUUCCGCCCCUUAGUGCUGCAGCUAACGCAUUAAGCACUCCGCCUGGGGAGUACGGUCGCAAGACUGAAACUCAAAGGAAUUGACGGGGGCCCGCACAAGCGGUGGAACAUGUGGUUUAAUUCGAAGCAACGCGAAAAACCUUACCAGGUCUUGACAUCCUCUGACAACCCUAGAGAUAGGGCUUUCCCUUCGGGGACAGAGUGACAGGUGGUGCAUGGUUGUCGU
rnacentral:rRNA from 1 species